GAUGAACGCUGGCGGCGUGCCUAAUACAUGCAAGUCGAGCGAACAGACGAGGAGCUUGCUCCUUUGACGUUAGCGGCGGACGGGUGAGUAACACGUGGGUAACCUACCUAUAAGACUGGGAUAACUUCGGGAAACCGGAGCUAAUACCGGAUAAUAUUUCGAACCGCAUGGUUCGAUAGUGAAAGAUGGCUUUGCUAUCACUUAUAGAUGGACCUGCGCCGUAUUAGCUAGUUGGUAAGGUAACGGCUUACCAAGGCAACGAUACGUAGCCGACCUGAGAGGGUGAUCGGCCACACGGGAACUGAGACACGGUCCAGACUCCUACGGGAGGCAGCAGUAGGGAAUCUUACGCAAUGGGCGAAAGCCUGACGGAGCAACGCCGCGUGAGUGAUGAAGGUCUUCGGAUCGUAAAACUCUGUUAUUAGGGAAGAACAAACGUGUAAGUAACUGUGCACGUCUUGACGGUACCUAAUCAGAAAGCCACGGCUAACUACGUG
rnacentral:rRNA from 1 species